ensembl:rRNA 5S_rRNA 5S ribosomal RNA
GUCUACGGCCAUACCACCCCAAACACGCCCGAUCUCGUCUGAUCUCGGAAGUUAAGCAGGGUCGGGCCUGGUUAGUACUUGGAUGGGAGAAAUGACCUAUGGCUCCCUGACU